rnacentral:rRNA from 1 species
UACGUAGGUGGCAAGCGUUGUCCGGAUUUACUGGGCGUAAAGAGCGCGCAGGCGGUCGUCCAAGUCGCGUGUGAAAGCCCCCCGGCUCAACUGGGGAGGGUCACGCGAUACUGGUCGACUCGAAGGCAGGAGAGGGUAGUGGAAUUCCCGGUGUAGUGGUGAAAUGCGUAGAUAUCGGGAGGAACACCAGUGGCGAAGGCGACUACCUGGCCUGUUCUUGACGCUGAGGCGCGAAAAGCUAGGGGAGCAAACGGG